UUUCCCUUUGAGGAAAAAAGGAUUUUGGUAAUCGUGUGUAACAGACUCCUUUGUACCAUAAAAAUUCAUAGUCUUCUAUCUGACGUUUGUGUUAGAAAAUUCUAAAAUUUCUUUUGCAUUUCUAUGCUUCAUUUGAAUCAAGCAAUAUGUGAUAAAAUGUGCUGGCUCUUGGUCUGGCCAUUUCUUUAAGAAAGGCAACCUUAUCCACAGUUAUUUUUUCCCUGCCCCUCCCAGAUUAUUUUCCAGUGAAGUAAGGGAGUAAUCAUGGAAGAUCGCCAUAUGGUAACAGUGAGCCAUGUCAAACACACCCACCAAUGGAUAUUACUGUGAACUACAAGCAAUUUGUUCCUGUGUAGAGCUGCAAUAUUAACAAGAAGCUGGGCGGUCUGAUGAGUUUUCCUUCAUCUCUCAGGGCAACGGCGUAUGAAGAAAUGGGAAGAAAAUGUUUGCUGACUGCUGCUCUAGGACAUUCAUCAACACAGAUGACCAGGGCUCACACCAGUGUUCCUGAAAGCCAGUGAAGGUAGGUUACACCAGAAAAUCU
rnacentral:lncRNA from 1 species